GACGAACGCUGGCGGCGUGCUUAACACAUGCAAGUCGAGCGAUGAAGCACCUUCGGGUGUGAAUUAGCGGCGAACGGGUGAGGAACACGUGAGAAAUCUGCCUUCAACUCUGGGAUAACUCCGUGAAAACGGGGCUAAUACCGGAUAUGAGCCUUGAUCGCAUGAUCGAGGCUGGAAAGUUUUUCGGUUGAAGAUGAUCUCGCGGCCUAUCAGCUUGCUGGUGAGGUAAUGGCUCACCAAGGCGACGACGGGUAGCCGGCCUGAGAGGGCGACCGGCCACACUGGGACUGAGACACGGCCCAGACUCCUACGGGAGGCAGCAGUGGGGAAUAUUGGGCAAUGGAGGAAACUCUGACCCAGCGACGCCGCGUGAGGGAUGAAGGCC
rnacentral:rRNA from 1 species